rnacentral:rRNA from 1 species
UACGGGGGGGGCAAGCGUUGUUCGGAAUUACUGGGCGUAAAGGGCUCGUAGGUGGCCAACUAAGUCAGACGUGAAAUCCCUCGGCUUAUCCGGGGAACUGCGUCUGAUACUGGAUGGCUUGAGUUUGGGAGAGGGAUGCGGAAUUCCAGGUGUAGCGGUGAAAUGCGUAGAUAUCUGGAGGAACACCGGUGGCGAAGGCGGCAUCCUGGACCAACACUGACACUGAGGAGCGAAAGCCAGGGGAGCAAACGGG